GCCCCCGUGGCGCAGCUGGACAGCGCGCGACACUACGAAUGUCGAGGUCGCAGGUUCGAAUCCUGCCGGGGGCACCU
rnacentral:tRNA from 1 species